AAAAACCCAAACAGAACCGAGAGAGGCCCAAGGCAAGGUGAAGUCCGAGUCGAGGCCUGACAAUUAAGCGACCCGACGGCGUCUUGGCUUAUAUACAUAUAUGGUGUAUAUAUACGAGUAUAUUUCUGGUCUUUUGGUCUGGUUUUUUGAGUUGGUUUGAGUUUUUAUGGAGGUACUCGAGCGAGUGAGGGACACGAUUCGAUUCCAAGUCAUUUGGCGGCCGCUUAUCUUUGGAAUGUAACUUAAACUUUAAGGAUUAUUGCCUACAAUAAAUUUGCGCGACUCUUUUAAGGCUGUAAGCCAAUACGUAGGACUACCUACCCCCCACAAAAACCAGGAGGCAUUUUGGACACGUGCCCUGGCUGCUCGAUUACCUGUCUGCUAAUGAGAGACCAAGACCAUGGCAAAGGAUUCAUGGAUUCAUGGAUUCAGGGAUUCAUGGCAUAUUGCCAUCGGUAUCCUCUUUGGAAGCUGUCCGUGCGUUCGCCUGUCAGUUGGCCCAUGAUUUAUGACACAUCCAUUCAAUGGUCAGAAGUCAUAACACCCACUAAAGCCAAGCCAAGUGGAAGUCUGCUGGUGUCCAAGCACACUUCACUGACUGCCGACCUCGCGUGCACUG